UACGAAGGGGGCGAGCGUUGUUCGGAAUCACUGGGCGUAAAGCGCACGUAGGCGGAUUGUUAAGUCGGGGGUGAAAUCCUGGAGCUCAACUCCAGAACUGCCUUCAAUACUGGCGAUCUCGAGUUCGGGAGAGGUCAGUGGAACUGCGAGUGUAGAGGUGAAAUUCGUAGAUAUUCGCAAGAACACCAGUGGCGAAGGCGGCUCACUGGCCCGAUACUGACGCUGAGGUGCGAAAGCGUGGGGAGCAAACAGG
rnacentral:rRNA from 1 species